rnacentral:rRNA from 1 species
AUACGUAGGUGGCAAGCGUUAUCCGGAAUUAUUGGGCGUAAAGAGUGAGCAGGCGGUUAAUUAAGUCUGAGGUUAAAGCGUGGGGCUCAACCCCAUAAAGCCUUGGAAACUGAUUGACUAGAGUACGGGAGAAGUGAAGGGAACUCCAUGUGUAGGGGUGAAAUGCGUAGAUAUAUGGAAGAACACCAGUGGCGAAGGCGCUUCACUAGCCCGAAACUGACGCUCAGUCACGAAAGCGUGGGUAGCAAAUAGGAUUAGAUACCCUAGUAGUCCACGCUGUAAACGAUGACAACUAAAUAUUGCCGCGAGGCAGUGUUGAAGCUAACGCAUUAAGUUGUCCGCCUGGGGAGUACGGUCGCAAGACUGAAACUUAAAGGAAUUGACGGGG